rnacentral:pre_miRNA from 1 species
UAUAAGAGAUUUUGAGUUUCUGCUUACAACGUUUGACCACUCGUCUUAUUUAAAAUUUUUUAAAAAUAUUAUUUAUUUUAUUUGUGUCUUACUUUAUUAUCUACAGUAUUUUAAGUACAACUUUUCGUUUUUUAUAUUUGCAAAAAAAAAAUUAAAUAAGACGAGUGGUCAAACGUUACAAACAAAAACUCAAAAUCCCUUAUA